rnacentral:rRNA from 1 species
GACGAACGCUGGCGGCGUGCUUAACACAUGCAAGUCGAACGGGAUCCGGGCUUUCGGGUUUGGUGAGAGUGGCGAACGGGUGAGUAGCACGUGAGUAACCUGCCCCCUUCUUUGGGAUAACGUCGGGAAAUCGGCGCUAAUACUGGAUAUUCUUGCUGCAUCGCAUGGUGUGGUUUGGAAAGGGUUUCUGGUGGGGGAUGGGCUCGCGGCCUAUCAGCUUGUUGGUGGGGUGAUGGCCUACCAAGGCUUUGACGGGUAGCCGGCCUGAGAGGGUGUCCAGCCACACUGGGACUGAGACACGGCCCAGACUCCUACGGGAGGCAGCAGUGGGGAAUAUUGCACAAUGGGCGCAAGCCUGAUGCAGCGACGCCGCGUGAGGGAUGACGGCCUUCGGGUUGUAAACCUCUUUCAGUAUGGAACAAGGAUCCUUCUUUUGGGGGGUUUGAGGGUACGUGCAGAAGAAGCGCCGGCUAACUACGUG